UACAGAGGUCCCAAGCGUUGUUCGGAUUCAUUGGGCGUAAAGGGUGCGUAGGCGGCGCGGUAAGUCGGGUGUGAAAUCUUGGAGCUUAACUCCGAAACUGCAUUCGAUACUGCCGUGCUUGAGGACUGGAGAGGAGACUGGAAUUUACGGUGUAGCGGUGAAAUGCGUAGAUAUGACAUAGAACACCAAUUGCGCAGGCAGCUUACUACACAGUAAUUGACACUGAGGCACGAAAGCGUGGGGAUCAAACAGG
rnacentral:rRNA from 1 species